AUCUUGGGCCUUAUCUCCGGUUCACCCCCAAAAUAUUGGGUGUUGCAAGAGGGAACCCGGUGCGAAUCCGGGACUGACGCGCAGCGGUGUUGGGGAACGAAAACCGCACGAGGUCGCCGACCUCGGGCACUGCCCUUCGGGGUGGGAAGCCGCGGCCGUAGGCUGCCCCUGAGUCCGAAGACCUGCCGGAGAGCCCCGUCCCCU
rnacentral:ncRNA from 1 species